GGUUUGGCCGUAAAGGAGGGUAAAGGAUGCCAAAUCCAUCAAGAUCAAGAACAAUAAGGAUAAUGUGAAGUUUAAAGUCUGAUGCAGCAGAUACCUUUACACUUUGGUCAUCACAGACAGAGAGAAGGCAGGGAAACUGAAGCAGUCCCUGCCCUCAGAUUUGGCAGUAAAGGAGCUGAAAUGAACCCAGCAAACUAAU